AUUGAACGCUGGCGGCAGGCCUAACACAUGCAAGUCGAGCGGCAGCGGGAAAGUAGCUUGCUACUUUUGCCGGCGAGCGGCGGACGGGUGAGUAAUGCCUGGGAAAUUGCCCAGUCGAGGGGGAUAACAGUUGGAAACGACUGCUAAUACCGCAUACGCCCUACGGGGGAAAGCAGGGGACCUUCGGGCCUUGCGCGGUGGGAUAUGCCCGGGGGGGAUUAGCUAGUUGGUGAGGUAAUGGCUCACCGAGGCGACGAUCCCUAGCUGGUCUGAGAGGAUGAUCAGCCACACUGGAACUGAGACACGGUCCAGACUCCUACGGGAGGCAGCAGUGGGGAAUAUUGCACAAUGGGGGAAACCCUGAUGCAGCCAUGCCGCGUGUGUGAAGAAGGCCUUCGGGUUGUAAAGCACUUUCAGCGAGGAGGAAAGGUCAGUAGCUAAUACCUGCUGGCUGUGACGUUACUCGCAGAAGAAGCACCGGCUAACUCCGUGCCAGCCGCCGCCGUAACAC
rnacentral:rRNA from 1 species